UACGUAGGGACCAAGCGUUGUUCGGAUUUACUGGGCGUAAAGGGCGCGUAGGCGGCGUGGUAAGUCACUUGUGAAAUCUCUGAGCUUAACUCAGAACGGCCAAGUGAUACUGCUGUGCUAGAGUGCAGAAGGGGCAAUCGGAAUUCCUGGUGUAGCGGUGAAAUGCGCAGAUAUCAGGAGGAACACCGAUUGCGAAGGCAGCUCGCUGGGACGUAACUGACGCUGAGACGCGAAAGCGUGGGGAGCAAACAGG
rnacentral:rRNA from 1 species